AGAACGAACGCUGGCGGCAUGCCUAACACAUGCAAGUCGAACGGGACCUUCGGGUCUAGUGGCGCACGGGUGCGUAACGCGUGGGGAUCUGCCCUUAGGUACGGAAUAACUCAGGGAAACUUGAGCUAAUACCGUAUAAUGACUUCGGUCCAAAGAUUUAUCGCCUAGGGAUGAACCCGCGUAGGAUUAGCUUGUUGGUGAGGUAAAGGCUCACCAAGGCGACGAUCCUUAGCUGGUCUGAGAGGAUGAUCAGCCACACUGGGACUGAGACACGGCCCAGACUCCUACGGGAGGCAGCAGUGGGGAAUAUUGGACAAUGGGCGAAAGCCUGAUCCAGCAAUGCCGCGUGAGUGAUGAAGGCCUUAGGGUUGUAAAGCUCUUUGCCCGGAUGAUAAUGACAGUACCGGAGAAUAAGCUCCGGCUAACUCCGCGCCAGCAGCCGC
rnacentral:rRNA from 1 species